AUUGAACGCUGGCGGCAUGCCUUACACAUGCAAGUCGAACGGUAACAGGUUAAGCUGACGAGUGGCGAACGGGUGAGUAAUGUAUCGGAACGUGCCCAGUCGUGGGGGAUAACUACUCGAAAGAGUGGCUAAUACCGCAUACGACCUGAGGGUGAAAGCGGGGGACCGUAAGGCCUCGCGCGAUUGGAGCGGCCGAUAUCAGAUUAGCUAGUUGGUGGGGUAAAAGCCCACCAAGGCGACGAUCUGUAGCUGGUCUGAGAGGACGACCAGCCAAACUGGGACGGAGACACGGCCCAGACUCCUACGGGAGGCAGCAGUGGGGAAUUUUGGACAAUGGACGCAAGUCUGAUCCAGCCAUGCCGCGUGCGGGAAGAAGGCCUUCGGAUUGUCAACCGCUUUUGUCAGGGAAGAAACGAGUUUCUCUAAUACAGAGACUUAAUGACGGUACCUGAAGAAUAAGCACCGGCUAACUACGUGCCAGCCGCCGCAGUAACAC
rnacentral:rRNA from 1 species